AACGUACGCUGGCGGCACGCCUAACACAUGCAAGUCGAACGAAGUAGCAAUACUUAGUGGCAGACGGGUGAGUAACAUGUAGGUAUCUGCCCUUUGGCCUGGAAUAACACGAGGAAACUUGUGCUAAUACCGGAUAAGUCUUUACGGAGAAAGCUUUAUGCACCAUUGGAUGAGCCUGCACUUGAUUAGUUUGUUGGUGGGGUAAUGGCCUACCAAGACUGUGAUCAAUAGCUGAUUUGAGAGGAUGAUCAGCCACAUUGGGACUGAGACACGGCCCAAACUCCUACGGGAGGCAGCAGUGGGGAAUCUUGCACAAUGGAGGAAACUCUGAUGCAGCGAUGCCGCGUGAGUGAAGAAGGCCCCUGGGUUGUAAAGCUCUUUCGUCGGGGAAGAAAAUGACUGUACCCGAAUAAGAAGGUCCGGCUAACUUCGUGCCAGCAGCCGCGGUAAUACGAAGGGACCUAGCGUAGUUCGGAAUUACUGGGCUUAAAGAGUUCGUAGGUGGUUGAAAAAGUUAGUGGUGAAAUCCCAGAGCUUAACUCUGGAACUGCCAUUAAAACUUUUCAGCUAGAGUAUGAUAGAGGAAAGCAGAAUUUCUAGUGUAGAGGUGAAAUUCGUAGAUAUUAGAAAGAAUACCAAUUGCGAAGGCAGCUUUCUGGAUCAUUACUGACACUGAGGAACGAAAGCAUGGGUAGCGAAGAGGAUUAGAUACCCUCGUAGUCCAUGCCGUAAACGAUGUGUGUUAGACGUUGGAAAUUUAUUUUCAGUGUCGCAGGGAAACCGAUAAACACACCGCCUGGGGAGUACGACCGCAAGGUUAAAACUCAAAUGAAUUGACGGGGACCCGCACAAGUAGUGGAGCAUGUGGUUUAAUUCGAAGAUACGCGCAGAACCUUACCAACACUUGACAUGUUCGUCGCGACUCUAAGAGAUUAGAGUUUUCGGUUCGGCCGGACGAAACACAGGUGCUGCAUGGCUGUCGUCAGCUCGUGUCGUGAGAUGUUGGGUUAAGUCCCGCAACGAGCGCAACCCUCACUUUUAGUUGCCAUCAUUAAGUUGGGCACUCUGAAAGAACUGCCAGUGAUAAGCUGGAGGAAGGUGGGGAUGACGUCAAGUCCUCAUGGCCCUUACGUGUUGGGCUACACACGUGCUACAAUGGUAUCUACAACAGGAAGCAAGACUGCGAAGUUAAGCAAAUCCCUAAAAGAUACCUCAGUUCGGAUUGCACUCUGCAACUCGGGUGCAUGAAGCUGGAAUUACUAGUAAUCGUGGAUCAGCGUGCCACGGUGAAUGCGUUCCCGGGUCU
rnacentral:rRNA from 1 species